AAUCUUCGGCAAUGGGCGCAAGCCUGACCGAGCGACGCCGCGUGCGGGAUGAAGGCCUUCGGGUUGUAAACCGCUGUCAUAGGGGGUGAAAUGCAGGUGGGUUCUCCCAUCUGUUUGACAUAGCCUCAGAGGAAUGACGGGCUAAGUUCGUGCCAGCAGCCGCGGUAAGACGAACCGUCCAAACGUUAUUCGGAAUUACUGGGCUUAAAGGGUGCGUAGGCGGCGCGGAAAGUUGGGUGUGAAAUCCCUCGGCUCAACCGAGGAACUGCGCUCAAUACUGCCGUGCUCGAGGGAGAUAGAGGUGAGCGGAACUUAGGGUGGAGCGGUGAAAUGCGUUGAUAUCCUAAGGAACACCGGUGGCGAAAGCGGCUCACUGGAUCUCUUCUGACGCUGAGGCACGAAAGCUAGGGUAGCAAACGGG
rnacentral:rRNA from 1 species